CGAGCGGCGGACGGGUGAGUAAUGCCUAGGGAUCUGCCCAGUCGAGGGGGAUAACAGUUGGAAACGACUGCUAAUACCGCAUACGCCCUACGGGGGAAAGGAGGGGACCUUCGGGCCUUUCGCGAUUGGAUGAACCUAGGUGGGAUUAGCUAGUUGGUGAGGUAAUGGCUCACCAAGGCGACGAUCCCUAGCUGUUCUGAGAGGAUGAUCAGCCACACUGGGACUGAGACACGGCCCAGACUCCUACGGGAGGCAGCAGUGGGGAAUAUUGCACAAUGGGCGAAAGCCUGAUGCAGCCAUGCCGCGUGUGUGAAGAAGGCCUUCGGGUUGUAAAGCACUUUCAGUAGGGAGGAAAGGGUAUUGCUUAAUACGCAAUAUCUGUGACGUUACCUACAGAAGAAGGACCGGCUAACUCCGUGCCAGCAGCCGCGGUAAUACGGAGGGUCCGAGCGUUAAUCGGAAUUACUGGGCGUAAAGCGUGCG
rnacentral:rRNA from 1 species